rnacentral:misc_RNA from 1 species
UCCGGUUUGUCACCGGCAGUCUCCCUAGAGUGCCCUUGCGUAGCAACUAAGGACGGGGGUUGCGCUCGUUGCGGGACUUAACCCAACAUCUCACGACACGAGCUGACGACAGCCAUGCAGCACCUGUGUGCCGGCUCCCUUUCGGGCACCCCCGCCUUUCAGCAGGGUUCCGGCCAUGUCAAGGGUAGGUAAGGUUUUUCGCGUUGCAUCGAAUUAAUCCACAUCAUCCACCGCUUGUGCGGGUCCCCGUCAAUUCCUUUGAGUUUUAAUCUUGCGACCGUACUCCCCAGGCGGUCAACUUCACGCGUUAGCUACGUUACCAAGUCAAUGAAGACCCGACAACUAGUUGACAUCGUUUAGGGCGUGGACUAC